CCAAUGUAGCAAUAUGCUUAUUCCUCUAGUUCAGAGCUGGUGAGCAGGACGAGAAAAGACCCAAGACCUCGCUGAGGAAAGAGUUCGAGCGAGAAACGCCAGAGGAGAAACCCUGUGCCUUCCACUGUGGGCCGACUCAUUGAAUUAUAGACAUUUUUGACUGCUUGCUCAUCGCUUACAGAGUUGAGAAAACGUCUGAGGUGAAGUCCUGCUGUGGAGUCGGUGUGUUCAUAGCUUUGUGCUUUUCUGGAGUUCUGACUGUCGCUGCAGCUCUGGCUGCAUCUGUAGCUGCAAAGUGCAUCAGAAAACACAAGAAAGCUUCUCAGAGAAACCAGAGAGACGAUCCUUCUAAGAAAGCUUGUAACGGUGACGCUUCAGUGACAUCACAGCUGUAGUGUGUUUGUAUAUUUCAGGGGAAAUGGAUUCGUAUCUCUGAGGUCAACAUUAAUUUUUUAAAUAUUUUGUAUUUUCAUUCCUUUUAUUGUUAUCUACCUCGUUGUGUCUCCAUGUUUCUCACUGCUGUCUGUGAGGAGUCAGUGAGAUCAUAUUGAUCAUAUCAACUCUGAGUGUUUCACUCCAAAAUCUCAGGGACUCGAACCACAAGGAGCAGAUUCACCACAUAAUGCCUUAAAAAUUAGCAGAAAGCCAACUUUGAACACAAAGGCAGCUUAUGAAAUGUGGUAAUAAUGGCUGCUGUGUGUUAAAGUGGAUGAUUGGUGGAUGAAGGUGCUGACUGCAGCUGCUGGUGAUCCUGCAGAAACUGGUUCUACUUUUUUAGAUGUGAGAUUCUUGUAAACAUCAGUGCAAUUCAUGAUUUUAUGAAGCAGUUUGAUGCUGAUUUUAUAAUAUUUAUAUUGCACUUUUUAAAGUGCUACAAAUAAACACUUAUAGCUCUAAACUCUGUCAACCUUUUCUGGCUCAGCACCACAAAGCUUAAUUAUUACUGU